rnacentral:rRNA from 1 species
GGUUAAGCGAAUAAGCGUACACGGUGGAUGCCUAGGCAAUCAGAGGCGAUGAAGGACGUGCUAAUCUGCGAAAAGCGUCGGUAAGGUGAUAUGAACCGUUAUACCCGACGAUAUCCGAAUGGGGAAACCCAGUAUCCAAUGGAUACUAUCAUUAACUGAAUCCAUAGGUUAGUGAGGCGAACCGGGAGAACUGAAACAUCUCAGUACCCCGAGGAAAAGAAAUCAACCGAGAUUCCCCUAGUAGCGGCGAGCGAACGGGGAGCAGCCCAGAGUCUUAAUCAAUAACAGUGUCAGGAGAACGGUCUGGAAAGUCCGGCAGUAAAGGGUGAUAGCCCCGUAUCUGAAGAUGCUGUU